GACUUCACCACGCCGCCCCCGCUGUUGGACACGGUGGAAGUUAGAACCGGGGGAGUGUCUUGGUGUGGGGGGCUGGCUCAGGUGAGCAUGACCAGUCAAAACAUCCAGCCAGAGUGAUUAAGAGCUGUCAUAGGCAACCAGAAUAACCAGUUGCCCUGCGCGAGAUGGUCUGGCCUCCACAGAGCCCUGAUCUAAACAUCAUGGAGUCAGUCUGGGAUCACAUGAAGAGACAGAAGACACUGAGAGGCAGCCUAAAUCCACAGAAGAACUGUUUGAUAGACUGGUGACCUGUCCAUGCUGUACUGGGAUCGGUGACCUUGAUAAGCUGUGUAAAUAAUGGAUGGAUGGGUGACUGUCAGAAGGUUUAGUUGUUCAUAAUGUAUGUUCUGUAGUGUGUGUCUGCUCCAUAAAAGAAGGGUGAAACCACAGCCAGUUCAGUGUCACAGACAGGAAACAGCUUAAUUGUGGAGCCAUAUAUCUUAUUAUUUUCAGAAAGCAAGACCUGUUUUAAGAUGUGAGUUCAUAUAGAGCACAUGUGGAAAAGCCAUUUCCUUUUACCUGGUGAGAGGAAGUGCUGGGUCUAAAUGAACUAUGGGGUGAGGGGAAGGUCUGCUGUAAUGGCAAUAACACAACUGAAUUAGUAACGGAUGUGGCUGGCUUCUCUGCCGGGCCUCUGUACAGUUAAACCUGCUGACUGAGAGCUAAAAGUAAAGUAGUAGUAGUCCAUAGAGUUUUGUUUGCUUUUGCUCCAAAAGGUACUCAAGUCAUUUUUCCAUGAAAGGAAGUAGUCUGUAACUGUUCAGGCACAAAUACUAACCUCUGUAUGUUUGCAAACAAAUUCAACCUGAAACUCUGAGGUGGCAGAUUCAGUUUCAACUAAGAACCAAUA